UCACUUCUCCAGUCAGACCUGCCUCUAGGGGAGAGGCUGGCGCAACCUGAGCUUUUCAUGGAGAAAAGACCGACACGCAACUGCAAGGAGAGUGUGAAUCAAAGAGAGCCUAAUUUCACUUGCAUUCAACAUGACGGCUCAUAAUUUCUCGGUGGACUGAGACUCAUAAUGAUUACAGUGAUGUUAUUAUCUCCUCAUGCUAUGAUUUACACUCCACCGACCAAGAAACCUCGUGCACACGGCUUCAGUAAUGUUAUCAAAACUGUGCACCUUAGCGCAUGCUGAAAUAAAACAUGUAAAUGGACA